UGUUUAAAAUUUCAUCUAUUGUUAAAAACUAGCGUAAUUGACAAAAUAACCAAACAAUUACAAUUGACAUGCCACGUAGACCUCAUUCUGACAUACAGUGACUAGUUUUUGAUAGUAGAAAUUGAUAAAAUUUUUAAUA
rfam:Gossypium raimondii Chr06_contig_835, whole genome shotgun sequence.